UACAGAGGUCCCAAGCGUUGUUCGGAUUCAUUGGGCGUAAAGGGUGCGUAGGCGGCGCGGUAAGUCGGGUGUGAAAUCUCGGAGCUUAACUCCGAAACUGCAUUCGAUACUGCCGUGCUUGAGGACUGGAGAGGAGACUGGAAUUUACGGUGUAGCGGUGAAAUGCGUAGAUAUCAGGAAGAACACCCGUGGCGAAGGCGGCUCUCUGGGACGGUACUGACGCUGAGACGCGAAAGCGUGGGGAGCGAACAGG
rnacentral:rRNA from 1 species